rnacentral:rRNA from 1 species
UGCAAGUCGAACGGUGAAGCCCAGCUUGCUGGGUGGAUCAGUGGCGAACGGGUGAGUAACACGUGAGCAACCUGCCCUCCACUUCGGGAUAAGCCUUGGAAACGGGGUCUAAUACCGGAUAUGAGCACUUGCCGCAUGGUGGGUGUUGGAAAGUUUUUCGGUGGGGGAUGGGCUCGCGGCCUAUCAGCUUGUUGGUGGGGUGAUGGCCUACCAAGGCGUCGACGGGUAGCCGGCCUGAGAGGGCGACCGGCCACACUGGGACUGAGACACGGCCCAGACUCCUACGGGAGGCAGCAGUGGGGAAUAUUGCACAAUGGGCGAAAGCCUGAUGCAGCGACGCCGCGUGAGGGAUGACGGCCUUCGGGUUGUAAACCUCUUUCAGCAGGGAAGAAGGCCUUCGGGUGGACGGUACCUGCAGAAGAAGCGCCGGCUAACUACGUGCCAGCAGCCGCGGUAAUACGUAGGGCGCAAGCGUUGUCCGGAAUUAUUGGGCGUAAAGAGCUCGUAGGCGGUCUGUCGCGUCUGGUGUGAAAUCCCAUGGCUCAACUGUGGGCGUGCAUCGGGUACGGGCAGACUAGAGUGCGGUAGGGGAGACUGGAAUUCCUGGUGUAGCGGUGGAAUGCGCAGAUAUCAGGAGGAACACCGAUGGCGAAGGCAGGUCUCUGGGCCGCAACUGACGCUGAGGAGCGAAAGCAUGGGGAGCGAACAGGAUUAGAUACCCUGGUAGUCCAUGCCGUAAACGUUGGGCACUAGGUGUGGGGCUCAUUCCACG